rnacentral:rRNA from 1 species
GAUGAACGCUGGCGGCAUGCCUUACACAUGCAAGUCGAACGGUAACAGGGAGCUUGCUCCGCUGACGAGUGGCGAACGGGUGAGUAAUGUAUCGGAACGUACCUUUUAGUGGGGGAUAACGUAGCGAAAGUUACGCUAAUACCGCAUAUUCUCUGAGGAGGAAAGCAGGGGACCUUCGGGCCUUGCGCUAAUAGAGCGGCUGAUAUCAGAUUAGCUAGUUGGUGAGGUAAAGGCUCACCAAGGCGACGAUCUGUAGCGGGUCUGAGAGGAUGAUCCGCCACACUGGAACUGAGACACGGUCCAGACUCCUACGGGAGGCAGCAGUGGGGAAUUUUGGACAAUGGGGGCAACCCUGAUCCAGCCAUGCCGCGUGAGUGAAGAAGGCCUUCGGGUUGUAAAGCUCUUUCGGCCGGGAAAAAAUCGCAUGGGUUAAUACCCUGUGUGGAUGAUGGUACCGGAAUAAGAAGCACCGGCUAACUACGUGCCAGCCGCCGCGGUAACAC